rnacentral:lncRNA from 1 species
AGAGUUAGAGAGUUUUUCUGUCUGACCUGGAGUUAACACUGGAAAACUACAACUCUUGAUUUACUGUUUUGCUUUUUUAAAGAUAGUAAAUUGGUAGUCAUAUUUGGAAAUAGCUUAUUUUUAGAACUCAGAAGUUUCCUAAUAGGGAAAAACAUGGAACUUCUGCAAUAAUUUGAUGUUUUUGAGCAAUCUGGGGUCUGAGAAGUAAGUUGAUACAGUGUUGAGUUUGGAUGUUUAAAUAGGUUACCAGUCAGGAAAUACCAAAGCUAAGUUUCCCAUGGACUUGUAGUCUGGUCGAUUUGCACUUACAUGUCUGCAAAAAUAAGGCCUGAGGACCUUUAGAGGCUGAGCUACUAGUACCUUCCCAGGGUCCCAUGUAAUCUUAAAGAGUAAACUUCAGCAAAUAUGAAACCAUCUGGGUGGUAAGUGCCAGGGCACAGGUGGCCUUGUGCCACCUGCCUCCUGGGGCUGGAGAUUGAAGUACCCCAAGCUUGCUUUAGGCAUGGGGGGUCUCAUUCCUCUGUUUUUAACUGAUUGGGCAAAAACUCCAAUGUCUGUUUCCAUCACGUACCAAAAUAUUAGUAUCAAUAGGGAAGUGUCAUGUGAAACAACAUUCCUAAGAUAAAGAGAACUAGAACUAUCAUCUGACCUAAAUAUUUUCAAAUUAGUUUUUCUUCAUUCUCAAUGUAAAUAUCAAUAAACUUAAAGGGGGGGUGGGGG